CCUACGGGAGGCAGCAGUGGGGAAUUUUGGACAAUGGGCGCAAGCCUGAUCCAGCAAUGCCGCGUGAGUGAAGAAGGCCUUCGGGUUGUAAAGCUCUUUUGUCAGGGAAGAAACGGUGAGGGCUAAUAUCCCUUGCUAAUGACGGUACCUGAAGAAUAAGCACCGGCUAACUACGUGCCAGCAGCCGCGGUAAUACGUAGGGUGCAAGCGUUAAUCGGAAUUACUGGGCGUAAAGCGUGCGCAGGCGGUUUUGUAAGUCUGUCGUGAAAUCCCCGGGCUCAACCUGGGAAUUGCGAUGGAGACUGCAAGGCUAGAAUCUGGCAGAGGGGGGUAGAAUUCCACGUGUAGCAGUGAAAUGCGUAGAGAUGUGGAGGAACACCGAUGGCGAAGGCAGCCCCCUGGGUCAAGAUUGACGCUCAUGCACGAAAGCGUGGGGAGCAAACAGGAUUAGAUACCCUGGUAGUCCACGCCCUAAACGAUGUCUACUAGUUGUUCGGGUUUUAAUUAACGUUGGUAACGCGAGACUACGUACGUGAGUAGACCGCCGUCGGGAGGUACGGUCGCGAAGUAAGUUAAACGUUAACGUUAAGUAAGUUAGUUAGUACGNGNGAGNGCGACGACGACGACGACGGAGGAGGAG
rnacentral:rRNA from 1 species